AUGCGGAGGGAUCAUUACGCGAGUUGUACAACUCCCAAACCCAAUGUGAACCAUACCAAACUGUUGCCUCGGCGGGGUCACGCCCCGGGUGCGUCGCAGCCCCGGAACCAGGCGCCCGCCGGAGGGACCAACCAAACUCUUUUCUGUAGUCCCCUCGCGGACGUUAUUUCUUACAGCUCUGAGCAAAAAUUCAAAAUGAAUCAAAACUUUCAACAACGGAUCUCUUGGUUCUGGCAUCGAUGAAGAACGCAGCGAAAUGCGAUAAGUAAUGUGAAUUGCAGAAUUCAGUGAAUCAUCGAAUCUUUGAACGCACAUUGCGCCCGCCAGUAUUCUGGCGGGCAUGCCUGUCCGAGCGUCAUUUCAACCCUCGAACCCCUCCGGGGGGUCGGCGUUGGGGACCUCGGGAGCCCCUAAGACGGGAUCCCGGCCCCGAAAUACAGUGGCGGUCUCGCCGCAGCCUCUCCUGCGCAGUAGUUUGCACAACUCGCACCGGGAGCGCGGCGCGUCCACGUCCGUAAAACACCCAACUUCUGAAAUGUUGACCUCGGAUCAGGUAGGAAUACCCGCUGAACUUAAGCAUAU
rnacentral:rRNA from 1 species